rnacentral:rRNA from 1 species
GUGCCAGCCGCCGCGGUAAUACGUAGGGGGCAAGCGUUGUCCGGAAUUAUUGGGCGUAAAGCGCGCGCAGGCGGUUUUCUAAGUUAGGUGUGAAAGCCCACGGCUCAACCGUGGAGGGCCACCUAAAACUGGGAGACUUGAGUGCAGGAGAGGAGAGCGGAAUUCCACGUGUAGCGGUGAAAUGCGUAGAGAUGUGGAGGAACACCCGUGGCGAAGGCGGCUCUCUGGCCUGUAACUGACGCUGAGGCGCGAAAGCGUGGGGAGCAAACAGGAUUAGAUACCCUGGUAGUCCACGCCGUAAACGAUGAGUGCUAGGUGUUGGGGACUCCAAUCCUCAGUGCCGCAGCUAACGCAAUAAGCACUCCGCCUGGGGAGUACGGCCGCAAGGCUGAA